GCUCCCGGAGGGCAAACCCGCGCGAAAGCCGGGGACGCAAAGCCACAGGUCUAAGGUUUCCCGCAGAACGCUAUAUGCGGAGAACUAUGACGGCUGGGCUGCAGGG
rnacentral:ncRNA from 2 species